rnacentral:rRNA from 1 species
GACGAACGCUGGCGGCGUGCUUAACACAUGCAAGUCGAACGAUGAUCCCUUCUUCGGUUGGGUGAUUAGUGGCGAACGGGUGAGUAACACGUGAGUAACCUGCCCUCCACUCUGGGAUAACUGUGGGAAACUUCAGCUAAUACCGGAUAUUGAACUUUCACCUCCUGGUGGUUGUUUGAAAGAUUUUUUGGUGGGGGAUGGACUCGCGGCCUAUCAGCUUGUUGGUGGGGUAAUGGCCUACCAAGGCGGUGACGGGUAGCCGGCCUGAGAGGGUGGCCCCCCACAAUGGAACUGAAACACGGUCCAUACACCUACGGGUGGCAGCAGUAGGGAAUAUUAGUAAUGGGCGAAAGCCUGAACUAGCAACGCCGCGUGUGCGAAGAAGGCCUUCGGGUCGUAAAGCACUUUUUGAGAGGAUGAGGAAGGACGGUACUCUCAGAAUAAGUCUCGGCUAACUACGUGCCAGCAGCCGCGGUAACACGUAGGAGGCAAACGUUAUCCGGAUUUACUGGGCGUAAAGCGCGUGUAGGUGGUUUGGUAAGUAGGGCGUGAAAGCUCCUGGCUCAACUGGGAGAGGACGUCCUAAACUGCCAAGCUUGAGGAUGGUAGAGGGAGGUGGAAUUCCGGGUGUAGCGGUGGAAUGCGCAGAUAUCCGGAGGAACACCAGUGGCGAAGGCGGCCUCCUGGACCACUCCUGACACUCAGACGCGAAAGCUAGGGUAGCAAACGGGAUUAGAGACCCCGGUAGUCCUAGCCCUAAACGAUGUAGACUUGGCGUCGGUGGUUUAAUCGCCAUCGGUGUCGUAGCUAACGCGUUAAGUCUACCGCCUGGGGACUACGGCCGCAAGGUUAAAACUAAAAGGAAUUGACGGGUCCCCGCACAAGCAGCGGAGCGUGUGGUUUAAUUCGAUGCUACACGAAGAACCUUACCUGGGUUUGACAUAGAGGUAGUAGGGAAGCGAAAGCGGACCGACCCUUCGGGGAGCCUCUACAGGUGUUGCAUGGCUGUCGUCAGCUCGUGUCGUGAGAUGUUCGGUUAAGUCCGCUAACGAGCGCAACCCUCGCUGUGUGUUACAAGUGUCACACGGUACUGCCGAUAUUAAGUCGGAGGAAGGUGGGGAUGACGUCAAGUCAGCAUGACCUUUAUAUCCAGGGCUACACACACGCUACAAUGGCCAGUACAAUGGGUUGCCAAGCCGCGAGGCGGAGCCAAUCCUAAAAAGCUGGCCUCAGUUCAGAUUGCAGUCUGCAACUCGACUGCAUGAAGUUGGAGUUGCUAGUAACCGCAGGUCAGCAAUACUGCGGUGAAUACGUUCCCGGGGAU